GCCCGUCACCUUGCAACGGAUGGUGUAGGGCUUGCCGAUCUUGUUCCCCUAGUAACCUCUGCGCAUGGGGACAAUGGAGAGCUAGGCCAGGAUGAUGGCCCUGUGGAUGGCAGUGGCCACCUCCUUGGAGCACUUAACACCCAGACCGACGUGACCGUUGUAGCCCGCAAUGGCCACAAACGCCUUGAACCUGGUUCGCUGGCCGGCUCCGGUCUGCUUCUGCACCGGCAUAAUCUUCAAAACCUAGGCCUCGAGAGAGGCCCCCCAGGAAAAAAUCAAUGAUCUCAGAUUCCGUGAUGGGCAGGGAGAAGAGACAGAUCUCCUCCAGGGAAGUGAUCUUCAUGUGCUUGACCAGGCAGCCCAGCUUGCUGACGGGCAUCCACUCCUUAUCCUUGGCCUUGCCUCCGCGAGCUCCGUGGCUUCGGCCCCAGCCUGGUCCACGGCAGUGACCCCGGCCUCGGAUGCCACUGCCGAAACCUCCACGGAAGCCACCAUGGUUCCCCAUCCCAGGGCCCCGGGGCCUCCGGGACUCCCCCCGCAACCCAAUGCCGGCUGCGCCGGCGUCAUCCGCCAUUUGGUGUUUUCUCGGAGAAGAAGCUACAUGUGGAAUAUAUUAACGCAACAAAUUGUGCGUACUUGCUAGACAUUAGGCAUGAUAGCAAGUGCUAGGGUUACAAAGUAUUGCUUUUUGGGGAACCCAUGGUUGUUGGGGAGAAACCAGAAGAUCAGUCAUCACAGUGCGGCAAGAUCAGACUUGUGGUUUGUUCAGGUUCUGGGAGCCGUCACUGCAGUGAGAAUGGACCCCACAAUGUCUCAUAAGGGGAUCUGCAAGGCAGCCCUAAAUUCCAAGCAGGACAUGUAACUCCUCAAUGGACAAAUGGACACUGGACCCUGGUUGAAGGAACCUGUUGUUCUUAUGGUGGAGGGCAGAAACCCAAGAGGGCUGGAGCCAAUCCAUCCCUGUUUUCUUUAGACGCUGACUCCUGCUGUCUACCAGAUCCUCGUGGUACAAUGACUGGUGUAGACUGGCUUGUUGAAGUCACUCUCUGGAUCUGAGCAACGCUGGCUGAGCCGUGAUGAAGUAUUCCUAUCCAUCCACUAUGCUUCACAGUGGGAAUCUCUCACUGUUCAUCACCGCUGCCCUAGCAGCCGCAGGGAUUCUUCACCCAUGGUUGCUUAGGUUUAUAAGCAAGGAAGCUGAAUGAAGUCCCUUUCCUCUCUGGAUGAGCCCCUGGGUUUCUGGAAGAGUCUUAAAAUCACCCCUAAAUGGCUUCCAAGCACUGAAGCCCGAGAUGUUAGCUGGCCUGUGUGAGGCCUUGAGACAGAAUGCCACAGCCACACCCCAAGGAUGCUGAAGGGGAUUUCCCUCCUCUGUGGUUUUUCUCCUUUCUUCCCGCAGCACUCCUCCUACGUGCUAACAUCUUCUAGUCAAACAACUCUCCUUUUCAAAGGGACCAGGCACAGUUUCUGCUUAUCCCUGAGUAGCAGUGUUCAGUUUCCUGCCAGCCUGUGGAGUUUUUCAAACAAGCCAAUCACCUCCUCCUGUGGGAACUGAGAAGCACCCCACCCUCUCGAUACUACAAAGCCCCUGCUUGUUCCCUAGUGCAACUCCCAUGUGGUCCUGUGGAGCAUAUGGUAUCUUCCUCUUCUGGGCAGUGAGCAUAUGUGACUAAUAAACUAUCUAUCU
rnacentral:lncRNA from 1 species